UCUCUUGCUUUUUCAGAAAUGCUCUGACAC
rnacentral:piRNA from 1 species